ACCACAGGUUCACAUGUAGACACAAUAUCAUCCUUGGGUGUUCCACUUUAUUUCCAUUACGUACAUGCCUAAGUUCAACAAGACCAAACGAAGGGCCAAACCAGAUGAAGAGCAAAGGAAAUGCCUUGGCCGAGUCGAAAGAUAAGGAAUAGAGUAAGGUGGUUCGGCCAUGGAAGGAGGAAUUCAAGGCUGGAAAUUUCACUAUCAACCGUUCACCAUCUCAUCAUCAUCAUCACAAUCAAUUUCUUUUCAUGUUCGUCUAAGGUAUUGUCACCCGAGAUGGUGGAUGUGGACAUGCUAGCUGCUAUCUAUGAUUUGCUUUCAUUCUGGAAACCUUUUGAUAGAUGAAGCUUAUGCGUAUACCUCAUGGCAUGAAACUGAUAGUAUAACCCAUGCUUGGAUUUGCUCUUAAUGUGUUUAUCUCUUUUUCUGUUGAUCUGAGAUGAUAACAUGACCCUUAGUUGUAUAUGUUCCUUUCACGUGUUUGAGUUAAAAGUUUAGUUGUGAUAUGGUGGUUUGGGUUUUGAUUGGAGUGGUGUAGCAGAAGCUUGGGUGAUGUUACUUGUAUAUAUAUUUUUUUACAAAUUGUUCUCAUUUACUAAAUAAUCAUAUGCUUAUGUUGCUGGAAA